AUCUCUAUGGGUCUCUAUGGGUCUCUAUGGGUCUCUAUGGGUCUCUAUGGGUCUCUAUGGGUCCCUAUGGGUCUCUAUGGGUCUCUAUGGGUCUCUAUGGGUCCCUAUGGGUCUCUUUGGGUCUCUAUGGGACACUAUGGGGCAGUUAUGGGUCCCUAUGGGUCUCUAUGGGUCUCUAUGGGUCCCUAAGGCUCUCUAUGGGUCCCUAUGGGUCUCUAUGGGUCCCUAUGGGGCAGCUAUGGGGCUCUAUGGGUCACUAUGGGUCUCUAUGGGGCACUAUGGGUACCUAUGGGGCAGCUUAUGGGGCACUAUGGGUCUCUAUGUGUCCCUUUGGAUGACUAUGGGUCUCUAUGGGUCACUAUGGGGCAGCUAUGGGUCUCUAUGGGUCUCUACAGGGCAGCUAUGGGGCAGCAAUGGGUCUCUAUGGGGCUCUAUUGGGCUCUAUGGGUCCCUAUGGGUCUCUGUGGGUCAAUAUGGGGCAGCUAUGGGUCUCUAUGGGGCAGAUAUGGGGCUCUAUGGGGCUCUAUUGGGCUCUGUGUGUCCCUAUGGGUCCCUAUGGGUCUCUAUGGGUCACUAUUGGGCUCUAUGGGGCUAUAUGGGUCCCUAUGGGGCAGCUAUGGGGCUCUGUGGGUCCCUAUGGGUCUCUGUGGGUCGCUAUGGGGCAGCUAUGAGUCACUAUGAGGCAGCUAUGGGUCUCUAUGAGUCUCUAUGGGGCUCUAUGGGUCCCUAUGGGUCUCUCUGGGUCUCUACAGGGCAGCUAUGGGGCAGAUAUGGGGCAGCUAUGGGGCUCUAUGGGGCAGCUAUGGGUCACUAUGGGUCCCUAUGGGGUCCCUAUGGGGCAGCUAUGGGGCUCUAUGGGUCCCUUUGGAUGACUAUGGGUCUCUAUGGGUCACUAUGGGGCAGAUAUGGGUCUCUAUGGGUCUCUAUGGCUCUCUUUGGGUCUCUGUGGGUCACUAUGGGGCACCUAUGGAUCCCUAUGGGUCACUAUGGGGCACCUACGGGGCUCUAUGUGUCCCUAUGGGUCUCUAUGGGUCUCUAUGGGUCACUAUGGGGCAGCUAUGGGUCUCUAUGGAUCCUUUUGGAUGACAAUGGGUCUCUAUGGGUCACUAUGGGUCCCUAUGGGUCACUAUGGGUCCCUAUGGGUCUCUAUGGGUCUCUAUGGGUCCCUAUGGGUCUCUAUGGGGCAGCUAUGGGUCUCUAUGGGGCAGCUAUGGGGUAGCUAUGGCUGCUCACACUCAUGGACCCACUGCUGCCCCUCGGCGUGCUGCUCAAGUGUCUCAGUGCUUACACAGGUGGGGCGCUAUGGGGCAGAGAUGGGGCUAUAUGGGGUAGUUAUGGGGCACUAUGGGGCUCUAUGGGGCUCUAUGGGGUAGUUAUGGGUCUCUAUGGGUCCCUAUGGGGCUCUAUGGGUCUCUGUGGGUCACUAUGGGGCAGCUAUGGCUCUCUAUGGGUCACUACAGGGCAGCUAUGGGGUCGCUAUGGGGCUCUAUGUGUCUCUAUAGGUUUCUAUGGGUCCCUAUGGGUCUCUAUGGGUCCCUAUGGGUCUCUACAGGGCAACUAUGGGGCAUCAAUGGGUCCCUAUGGGUUGCUAUGGGUCACUAUGGGGUAUCAAUGGGUCUCUAUGGGUCACUGUGGGGCAGCUAUGGGUCUCUAUGGGGUAGCUAUGGGUCUCUAUGGGUCUCUAUGGGUCUCUAUGGGGAGCUAUGGGUCACCGUCACGGCUGCUCACACUCAUGGACCCACUGCUGCCCCUCGGCGUGCUGCUCAAGUGUCUGAGCGCGUACACAGGUGGGUAUGGGGCAGAUAUGGGGUGAUAUGGGGCGCUAUGGGGUAGUUAUGGGGCUAUAUGGGGUAGUUAUGGGGCUCUAUGGGUCCCUAUGGGGCUCUAUGGGGCACCUAUGGGUCUCUAUGGGGUAGAUAUGGGUCUCUAUGAGUCCCUAUGGGUCCCUAUAGGGCAUCUAUGGGGCUCUAUGGGGCUCUAUGGGUCCCUAUAGGCCCCUAUGGGUCCCUAUGGGGUCGCUAUGGGGCAGCUAUGGGACUCUAUGGGGCAGCUAUGGGGCUCUAUGGGGUCUCUAUGGGACACUAUGGGGCAGAUAUGGGUCCCUAUGGGUCGCUAUGGGGCAGCUAUGGGGCUCUAUGGGUCUCUAUGGGUCCCUAUGGGUCACUAUGGGGCUCUAUGGGACACUAUGGGUACCUAUGGGGUAGCUUAUGGGUCCCUGU
rnacentral:lncRNA from 1 species